rnacentral:rRNA from 1 species
UUGAACGCUGGCGGCAUGCCUUACCCCUGCCAGUCGCACGGUAACGGGCCUUCGGGUGCCGACGAGUGGCGAACGGGUGAGUAAUACAUCGGAACGUGCCCGAUCGUGGGGGAUAACGAGGCGAAAGCUUUGCUAAUACCGCAUACGAUCUACGGAUGAAAGCAGGGGACCGCAAGGCCUUGCGCGGACGGAGCGGCCGAUGGCAGAUUAGGUAGUUGGUGGGAUAAAAGCUUACCAAGCCGACGAUCUGUAGCUGGUCUGAGAGGAUGAUCAGCCACACUGGGACUGAGACACGGCCCAGACUCCUACGGGAGGCAGCAGUGGGGAAUUUUGGACAAUGGGCGCAAGCCUGAUCCAGCCAUGCCGCGUGCAGGAUGAAGGCCUUCGGGUUGUAAACUGCUUUUGUACGGAACGAAAAGCCUUCUUUUAAUACAGGAGGGUCAUGACGGUACCGUAAGAAUAAGCACCGGCUAACUACGUG